rnacentral:rRNA from 1 species
CGGGGUUGCGGACAGUGUCUGGUGGGUAGUUUGACUGGGGCGGUCUCCUCCUAAAGAGUAACGGAGGAGCACGAAGGUUGGCUAAUCCUGGUCGGACAUCAGGAGGUUAGUGCAAUGGCAUAAGCCAGCUUGACUGCGAGCGUGACGGCGCGAGCAGGUGCGAAAGCAGGUCAUAGUGAUCCGGUGGUUCUGAAUGGAAGGGCCAUCGCUCAACGGAUAAAAGGUACUCCGGGGAUAACAGGCUGAUACCGCCCAAGAGUUCAUAUCGACGGCGGUGUUUGGCACCUCGAUGUCGGCUCAUCACAUCCUGGGGCUGAAGUAGGUCCCAAGGGUAUGGCUGUUCGCCAUUUAAAGUGGUACGCGAGCUGGGUUUAGAACGUCGUGAGACAGUUCGGUCCCUAUCUGCCGUGGGCGCUGGAGAACUGAGGGGGGCUGCUCCUAGUACGAGAGGACCGGAGUGGACGCAUCACUGGUGUUCGGGUUGUCAUGCCAAUGGCACUGCCCGGUAGCUAAAUGCGGAAGAGAUAAGUGCUGAAAGCAUCUAAGCACGAAACUUGCCCCGAGAUGAGUUCUCCCUGACUCCUUGAGAGUCCUGAAGGAACGUUGAAGACGACGACGUUGAUAGGCCGGGUGUGUAAGCGCAGCGAUGCGUUGAGCUAACCGGUACUAAUGAACCGUGAGGCUUAACCUU